rnacentral:rRNA from 1 species
UACGUAGGGUCCGAGCGUUGUCCGGAAUUACUGGGCGUAAAGAGCUCGUAGGUGGUUUGUCGCGUUGUUCGUGAAAACUCACAGCUCAACUGUGGGCGUGCGGGCGAUACGGGCAGACUGGAGUACUGCAGGGGAGACUGGAAUUCCUGGUGUAGCGGUGGAAUGCGCAGAUAUCAGGAGGAACACCGGUGGCGAAGGCGGGUCUCUGGGCAGUAACUGACGGCUGAGGAGCGAAAGCCAGGGGAGCAAACGGG